rnacentral:misc_RNA from 1 species
UAUAGAACUUUAAACGUAAUUUUAAUAAUUUAUUUAUAUUUUUUUAAAAUUAUAAGAUUUUAAUACAUAAAAAUAAUGUCAUCAUGCGAAUUGAAUCUUGAAAAUUCUAAGGGAGAAAAUAUCCCGUCUCCACUGCUCAGUUUCGAGGUCAGUGAAAUCCAAGAAAAUUAAUUAAGUUUAACUCAUAAGCCAUCCCUAAUUAAGGGAGAGAAAUACUAAAUUUCUUAAUGCAAUUUCAUUAAGGAAAAUUUAAAGAAAAAAAGACUUGUUAACUGUCCGUGUGCUUGGUUUGUCCAAAUGACAAAUAUAUAAUAGAACAGAAGGCAUGCAAACCAUGAUCCAAUGAUUAAAGAGAUGAAAGUUAAAAAGGAAACCCGCAAUUCAUAACAUUCUACCAAAAAAAAAGCAUUCGCACACAAUCUUUCGACAAGCUGCAACACGUGAAAUUAUGGCACAAAAACCAUGGAAACACAUUAUCUGCCAAAAUGAUAUCAAAGAUGUUGGACGAAUUCUAAUUUGGUUUAACGAUAGCCCUGCAAUGGAUCAGCUGCUUUGCCUGAUCUUGCAUCAGUCCAUGCUUUUGCAAUGGUUUUUUUCAUUUCAUCAUCCCCUUCUUCGUACAUAUUCUUCAUUAAGUCCAUAAUUCCAGCCAUGGGAUCUCGAUCCUUACCCAGAUUUGGCUUCAGCUUGUCCUCUUUGUAGUGCAAGUCUAACCAGUUACCCUUCGAAGCUUUAAACAAAGUGAUGAUAACCCUGGUAGGCUUAACUAACACUUUACAUUUCUCCGGUUCUAUCUCCUUGUUCAAUUUUGGUAUCGCACAUCGGUAGUUCUUUCCUUGCACAUCAUGGAAUUUGACAUCGAAUGACAUUGGCUUGAAGUCUGUCUCAAUAUUUUCUUGCUUGACACCCUCUAGAGAGACAUAUAUCUUGACUUUGUCAUUGUCCUGAUCCCAGCUGAAAGAUCCAAGCGUAACAUAAUUCAGAGCAGGGGUUGGAGGCACCUUGACUCCAGUUGCUAAUUGAGUUGGAGUUGGAACAGGUACAGAAAUAGGCUCCUUUGACAACUAAGCAUGGAAAGUAAAUAGCCAUUUAGUGGUUGCAAGCAAAGUCGAGGAUUCCCAAAAGCCUCGUUGGCCUACGAUAAUACUACGAUUGAAUACUAAUCUACAAAAAGAAUAACAACUACCAAACCAAUAAACACUCAUCUGUCGGGAACAAUCCAAAAACACAAAAAUUGAAUGUCUAUCCAAAUGCCAAGGGAGGAAGAGGGAAAAAUUAAUUAAAAAAAAGGAAAAAGAGAGAGAAAAGGAAGAAAGAGAGAGAAAGAAGGAUAGACGUUACAUCUACAGAAACUAUGAGCAAAUAAAACAAGAGCAGAAAUGGCUAAUUAAGCAAAAUUCUACACCAAAGUUAAAAGAGUCACUUUUAUCACUAUAAAAGAAUACAGAGAUGCUUAAUUUACUUGAACUUCAUUAAUGAUCAGCUUCACGGAAGCAUAAUUGCGCAUUUCAUGCUAUGUUGAUCUUAUGAAGCAUUGUGGGUCAGUUUCAACUUACAACGCUGAUACAGUCUUUACAGAAUAUUCUAAGACAACCAUCCAUUAUGCCAAAUAGCAUUAGCAAAUUAUAGCAAACAAAGGAUCCUAGCGAAUUUAUUGUCUAAACAUUAAAGCACUAAACAUUAGAGUCGCUAUCAAGCCAAAAAUCCUGGGAAAAGUGAUGAUAAUAAAAAUUCCACCAUAAUUUACAGUAUGAAACUCUGAAGUGGAAAACAUCAUCAUACCACGAAUACGACAAUAACAAUAAUCCAAAACUUCCUUCCUCGCAACAAUACUAUGAUAAUCCACAGAUAACAUACACAGGAAAGGGCAAGUAAUUAGCAAAAACUAGUUAGAAACGUUUCAACCAAAGUAUCGGAUUUAGCUUCAAAGACAAGGAUAAUUAUACAAUACUCCCGUGAACAAAUAGUGCAUCAGUGAGCAAGGGCGCUCUGAAUGAUUUUCUGAAACACAUAAUCAAGAAUAGAAAAACACAAAUUAAGCCAAAGCAUCAAGAAAAGCACACCUUCUCCAAGUUGCGUAUCUCAGAGGAGAUGAGCGAGAGGACUCUUGGCCUCUUGGCUAAGCUUUGUAGCUGCCUUAGCUCCUCCAAAUCCAACGCCAAUUCGUCACCCAUUUUUCCUUCUUUUUCUGUACAAAUGAAAUAGAAGAGAGUGAUUUUAUAAGUGAAUAAAAAGGAACAUAACACUGCUGUGUGUGGAAAAUGCUAGAAC